GUAUAAUGAUGAAACCCAUGCGUGUCAGCUGAUACUGUAAGCCCCUGGUGUGCUGUUGCUUUGGUUGGCGUUCUGCUGGCCUGAGUCUUCAGGACAACAGGGACCCAGAAGCAUGAUCAUACAUACACAACUUCUGAAUAC
ensembl:snoRNA